rnacentral:lncRNA from 1 species
AUGCUAGGUAAUGGUUUGGUUUAUCAUGUUCAUGUCUAUGUAGAAGAAGACUGUAGGAGGAAGUGGAGUGGACUCAGGGACAGGUAUCAGAGAGAGAGAAGGGCAGAGAAAGAGAAGAAGAGGUCUGGGUCAGCAGCUUCAGGCCAGCAGCCUUUGCGCUUCUGCCACAUUCUUUCUUUUCUGGAUCCAUUUAUUGUGCCUAGGGCAACGAGUGGCAAUUUUACAGCCAGACCCUCUACUACGUCAUCCACAAGUGUUGUCGCCACCGGUGCAUCAAGACCCUCAACGUCACCUUCAAAUGCGACCAUCACCUCCACCGGUGGAGUGAGACCCUCUACAACAUCAUCCACGAGUAUGACCUCCACCGGUGGAGUGAGACCCUCUACAACAUCAUCCACGAGUAUGACCUCCACCGGUGGAGUGAGACCCUCUACAACAUCAUCCACGAGUAUCACCUCCACCGGUGGAGUGAGACCCUCUACAACAUCAUCCACGAGUAUCACCUCCACCGGUGGAGUGAGACCCUCUACAACAUCAUCCACGAGUAUGACCUCCACCGGUGGAGUGAGACCCUCUACAACAUCAUCCACGAGUAUCACCUCCACCGGUGGAGUGAGACCCUCUACAACAUCAUCCACGAGUAUCACCUCCACCGGUGGAGUGAGACCCUCUACAACAUCAUCCACGAGUAUGACCUCCACCGGUGGAGUGAGACCCUCUACAACAUCAUCCACGAGUAUGACCUCCACCGGUGGAGUGAGACCCUCUACAACAUCAUCCACGAGUAUCACCUCCACCGGUGGAGUGAGACCCUCUACAACAUCAUCCACGAGUAUGACCUCCACCGGUGGAGUGAGACCCUCUACAACAUCAUCCACGAGUAUGACCUCCACCGGUGGAGUGAGACCCUCUACAACAUCAUCCAGGAGUAUGACCACCACCGGUGCAGCCAUGGAAGAUGAUGAAAUGGAGGAAGCACCUCUGGAUCUAGGACCACCUGAGAUUAUUAUGAACCUCACGGAAGUGACCACUGAGUACCUCGUUGAACAGGAUGUGGCCGUGGAGAGAAACAGAGAGAGAAACAAAGAGGAACAACGUCACACCAGCCCCCAGAUCCACUCAACUCAUUUCAGCAGAGGCUCUCCUCCAAGCCGUCGAGAGGGAUGCAGCCCAACCUGA